rnacentral:rRNA from 1 species
GUUUGCAACUCAAAGUUUACUUGAACAAGCCCGAUCCCGUCUGAUCUUGGAAGCUAAGCAGGGUCGGGCCUGGUUAGUACUUGGAUGGGAGACCACCUAGGAAGACUAGGUGCUGUAGGUG